GGAAAACAGAGGCUUUCAAACUGGGCCUCAACCUGACUGCCUUCUUGUUGACAGAGGGCAAGAGAAACACGAGCCAUUAGAUCUCCUUGGAUGUGGAGUUCAAAGGAUACAGGCUCCAGACAGUGCCUCUUUGGAACUCUAUACCUCUGCCUGCCAAAUGAUUCGAUGCCAAUUAUGAUGCAAUGAUAUUAUUCAUAUUUCAAUGACUCUUGGGAAGCUCUUCACCAGAGGAUAUUGUGACAUCAUAUCCCAAUGCCUCUUUUCUUGUGAAUAACUAGCUCUGCUAAGAAUAAGGCAUCCUGAAGAUAGAUACUAUGGUUGGAAGAGGAAACUGGGGGACCCUGGAUCUAGGAACUUGACUCAGCUGAACAGGCCACAUGUUCUCCAGGCUGAGGUUGAGCUCAUACGGGGUGGGAUCUAGUUGACUGAAGAAGGGAGCAUAAACCUGCAGAAGACUCAGAGGUGGAAGUGCCAAUCUUCAGGAUCACAAAGCCAAGCAGAAUCCCAAUCAAGAAGUUCCUAAAUUGCUGUAUAAGCAAAACAAAGCUGGACAAAAUCCUGUGUGGGCCCUUGCGGGUGUCGGGCGACUCCGCUGGCAAGGUACCCUUGGGCUCGUGUCGCCACUGACAUCUAAGGGGAAGCAAUGAAAGAAGUGUUCUCUAUGUUCAACAAGGACAUGUUAUUUUGAAAUAUUUGUGUCAGAGGUUGGCUGACUCUUGAGGUGGCACCCUUGAAUAUGGAUGGCUAAAAUCAGCUGUGCUCUGGACCUUCUGAGUUCGAGGCCAGCCUGGUCUACAACGAAAAACCAGAAAAAAAAAUGCAGUUUGAAACAAUGAGAACAAUAGAUCAGGGGAGUUGAUGUGUGUACAGAAAACAGCAAUACUAUUUAAAUUGACCAGCUUCCUCUGUAAAGGGGAAGGGAGAUCAGAAAACAACCAAGGUGACUGGUAGGGCUUGAAGCAGCUCCUGGAAUGCAGGCCUGAACUUGACCCUUGAAUUUCUUCAGUAUGGUAACUAAGAGCUAAUCAACAACAACGACAAAAUUGUCUAUCCAAAGUGAUUGGUCAUGUCUUCACAUCCUUCAGGGGGUCAAAUGGAAAGUAGAAGCAGAAGAUGGAAUGUGGACAGCUCUUGGCAGCAAAGAGCAGAUGCUGAGAUGGUGCAGAAUGAGGGGUGCGUGCUGCAAACACGAAGGAACAGAACCCCAUGAACAACUUGAAUGUUCUUGAAGGAUUCUUCUUCACAGUUGCAGUGAGGAGGAAUCUCAUCCUGCUGACACCUCCCGUUUUGUGUUAUAAAAUCUAAAGCAGAAAGGAUCACUCACGAUGGCCUCUGCCUGAUGGGAUCUAUCCCAAAGCCCACCGACACGGAAGAGAAGCACAAAGGACAAGAAGUGACCCCAGGUGCCUUGCUUCCACUUUAUCCAUAUGCAUCUGCC
rnacentral:lncRNA from 1 species